GAUGAACGCUGGCGGCGUGCCUAAUACAUGCAAGUCGAGCGAGCGGACGAGAAGCUUGCUUUUCUGAUGUUAGCGGCGGACGGGUGAGUAACACGUGGAUAACCUACCUAUAAGACUGGGAUAACUUCGGGAAACCGGAGCUAAUACCGGAUAAUAUUUUGAACCGCAUGGUUCAAAAGUGAAAGACGGUCUUGCUGUCACUUAUAGAUGGAUCCGCGCUGCAUUAGCUAGUUGGUAAGGUAACGGCUUACCAAGGCAACGAUGCAUAGCCGACCUGAGGGGGUGAUCGGCCACACUGGAACUGAGACACGGUCCAGACUCCUACGGGAGGCAGCAGUAGGGAGUCUUCCGCAAUGGGCGAAAGCCUGACGGAGCAACGCCGCGUGAGUGAUGAAGGUCUUCGGAUCGUAAAACUCUGUUAUUAGGGAAGAACAUAUGUGUAAGUAACUGUGCACAUCUUGACGGUACCUAAUCAGAAAGCCACGGCUAACUACGUG
rnacentral:rRNA from 1 species